rnacentral:lncRNA from 13 species
GAAUCCAGCAGUGCCUCCGAAGCCCAAAUGACUUCAGAUCCCGUCUGCAGCAGGUGGCAGGCUUUUCUGGAUUUGGUGGCUCCUGUGGCCUUUGUGGCUCCUGUGGCUUUUGUGGCUUUCAUGGCUUUUGUGGAACAUUCCUUUCCUGUUGGUCCCUGGUAACCUGGCAUGUGUUAAAUCCCAAAUACUCUUUUUAUCUUUAAUGACGUUUAAUUUGAGUGGGGUCAACAUAAAUCUAUUGAAGGUUGUAGAACAUUUAUUUAAAGUGAUAUUUGUGCAAAAUAUACGUCCUGAGCAGAAGAGAUUUUUCGACCCUCUGUUCUCAGCUAGGAAGGGAUCUGAAUAAAGUAAGGCCAGGUGCCCACCCAGGAAAACACUUGGCUUUCAGCUGUGUCACUGUUUUCCAUGACUCCUGCUUUUAGUGGGGAAGGAGGGCUGUGGCCUUCCAGUGCUCGGCUGUGGUUUGCAGGCGUCCAUGUCAUCUGCACCUGCAGCCCAGGCUACUGCCACGCCCAGCAAGCCAUCUUCCUGCACCUCAGACGACGCUAAGAUCCCUCCUCUCCCAUGUAGAACAUUGUGGCAAGGAAGCCUGGUUUCUCUUCGCGUUGCUUGUCAGCCCACUGCUGUGAAAGUGCGUCCUUAUCUGAGUCACCGCUGCAUGGAAGCGGACUUGCUGCUCUCCAGAAACCAGGAACGCUGGCGGUAGAUUCGAAUGCUGGGGCUUAAUCACCUAAAGGAAAGAGUGCAGGUUAGAGAGGGACGUGAGUGCUUCCGUGGAAAGGGCUUGGAUGGAACGGAAGGGCCGCUGGGACACCAUCUCCCUAAAGUCAGGGACCACCUCUGUCCCGCUGGCCAUGGUGAGAGCACAUGUUUGAGCACAUGGUGAGAGCACACAGCUGUUUGUGAAAUGAGAGAAUGAAUGAAUAAACGAGCGCGUGAAUCAUGGUGACA